rnacentral:lncRNA from 1 species
GGGAAUUAGUGCCUUAUGCAAACAGGGAACCCAGCCCCAUCAGCUUAGAUAUAUAGAAGCCCUUGUAUUCAACUGAAAAGGAGGGCAACCAGGAACCUACUUUCAGGAUUUCUCUUUUUGCUGAGAGCUUUCCUUUCACUUAAUAAAUUCUACUCCACUCACUCUUCAAGCCUCCGCAUGCCUACUUCUUCCUGGUUGUAAGACAAGAAGCCAGACCUAGCUGAGCUAAAGAGCAAGAAAUCCUGUGUCAUUUUGGGAGCUCGCACAGGAUGCCUGGAGGGUCACAAUUGGAGAAACUGGUUGUUUUACCAAGGCUUUGACUGGAAGGAUGUGCUUCCCUUUAAGGAAUCAAGCAUGACCUGCAGAACCAAUUAAAGCUCCUUAGGAACUUUGGCCUCAUACCUUGUCUAAAGAGUCCCUGUACAGGGUUCCUAACCUGUGGUGAGUAAAGAAUGUCACUUUCUAACAGGCCCAGGAGCCCUAUGUUCUGGGGACCUCAAGAAGAGAGGAAUUUGCCCAAAUCAUAGGUAUUUCAGAGUACAAAUCCAUGGCUGGGCUAGGCUUUAAAAGGUCUUAUCUGAGAUUCCUUGUAGAACAGAGUUCUAUUAAAGCCAAUUUAAAAGCCUAUGUUAAAUAUAACUAUUCUUGCUGUACUUUAUGCAGAUAAUCAAGCCAAGUAUAAGACUUAAGUUUAUUUUACAAAGAACUCAGUCCUAUCAUGAUUUGUUUUUGACAAAAAUGAGGACUGGAGAGAGAAAAAUUGUUUCAAAACUUAACAUACACUUGUGAUUCCAUUCUAAUCUCAUCAGUUGUUUUCAAGCUUUUGCCAACAUUUUAGACUAAUCCUGCUUAUUCCUGUGAACAAACCAGUGAUACCCAGCUGCAGCUCAGAAGAAACAAAAGGGAUGGAUAAUGUAAAAAUCUGGAUCAAUAUUUUAAUUCUGGGCAAUUAUCCUGCAAAUCCUGGAGGUUUUUUUGUUUGGGAAAAUAAGACCAAGGGAGUCAACCAAAGCUAAGCCCCAUGCAUCCAAAUCUUAGCAGGGAUAACUAUAGCCACCAGUUAUCUGGGCAUGUCAGCAAUCUUGGGAUUGUGGAGCUGUCCUUACUCCCUUGAUUCAUUUUGAUUUACAGCUUCUGAUAACCCAAAUUGCUUCUUCUUGCUAAAAGGCCAUUAAACUUCAAAUGGCGAUGCAAAUGAAACCAUGCAUGGAUGUGCCAUUCUUCCAUGGACCCUUAAACAGACCUCAGGAGGAGCCCUAACUGCCACUUUCCCAAAACAGAACUCCCUGUCAGCAGGAAGCAGUUUAGAAUGGUGAUUGUCUACUUUCCCCAACAGCCGUUGGGGGUCUCCACUCCUGAAGAAGGGAAUGAAAGGAGUUAGCUUUCUUUAGGCAGACAGUAAGGAAAGGUCCCCAGAGAACCUGUGACCAGCCCCACAAGUGCUGACACCAGAUGUUUUGUGCAGAUAAGAGAACUUACACAGUUCUCUUAAGCAUGCCUGCAGUGGACUAAGGGCCCGCAUGCGCACUGGGGGGAUGGAGGGGAGCCACCUGGAAUUCAUGCCUUAUACAAAUAUGGAACCCAGCCCCAUCAGCUUAGAUAUAUAGAAGCCUUUGUAUUCAACUGAGAAGGGGGGAAACUGGGAACCCGCUUUCAGAGCCCCUCUCUCUUUGCUGAGAGCUUUCCUUUCACUUAAAAAAUUCUACUCCACUCAUUCUUUGAGUAUCCAUGUGCCUACUUUUUCCUGGUCAUGAGACAAGAACCCAGACCUAGCUGAGCUAAGGAGCAAAAAAUCCUGCAUCAGUAUUGUGAAUUUUGUUUUUAGUAAUUUCAAGAGUGAAGAAUCAAUGAGUCUUUAUACAAAUAAUUGUUGAAAAUUUGCCUUAAGUAUAAUUUUAAAACCAUGAAAUUAUUAUUGAAAAGUACUGCUAUAUAUAAAACCACUUUUUGUUUGUUGUUGUAUCUGAAAGACUUUUCAAAUCAUGUCAUUGAAGAAAUUCAGGACUAAAUUUAUCCAAUUUGAAGGAAACUACAGAACAUGUUAAGAUAUUUUGUACUAAUAUCUACGGCCAUACCACCCUGAGUACAUGUGAUCUCAUCUGAUCUCAGAAAUGCAACAGAGUUGGUCCUGGUUAGUACUUGGAUGGGAGAAACUUUGUACUCUUAAGCCUGAGAUGACAAAUAAUUUUAAACAUUAGCUAAGAAGAAAAAGUCAAUGUUAUUUCCUCAUUAAAAUUUCUUCAUUACAAAUCAGCCUGCAUUCCUAAAGAAGUACUAAAUCAUAAAUACUUGUUUUGGAUUUAUGUCAAAAAUAAGCAUAAAUUGAGAAACACUGAGUCACAAUGAAGAGAUAAUGAACCUGUUCAUAAUGAACAAAGUUCAAUAUAAGUAAAAGGCCAUAAUCUUUCAGUUCUUCUUUAAGUCAGUAAUAUCAGGGUGGUUUUGCUUUUUCUGUAACUGUGCAGCAUACGACCAACAAAAACCCCCAUCCCACUAUUCUAAUCUGAAAUCAGCAUAAAGUAGAUGGUAUAUAAAUUUAAACAAGAGACCGUGCUGGAAAUGAACCUCCAUGGCAAUGAUAGCUUUGUAGGCUUUUUGAAGAGUUAACUAACCACUCAGAUUAGGACAUUUGGUGUCACAGUCAAAUGUUACAAGUAUGUCCAACUGCCACAGUAACUCCUGAGGAGAUUUAGGGGACAAAUGGGGAAACAGAACAGAAUCAUAAAGAGGAUAUAUUUUAGAGAAUGAGAACUUCACUUUUGGAAUCAAAUUACCUCAGUUUGAAGGCUACGUCCAUCAUUUACUAUAAGACCUAAGCAAGUUGCCUCCACUCUCUAAGCUUAAUUUCUUCUCUAUGAAAUGCAUAUGGAUAAUAACGGCACAAUCUCACAGUGCUGUCAUACAGAUUAAAAUUGAGAAUCCACUAAACCAUUUACCACUGAGCCUGGCACAUAUUAAAUGCUCAAUCAAUGUCAGAAAUCAUGAAAGUUACCAUAAUUCUAUUUUCAUGCCAAUAAUAUACUUACAUGAAUCCUAAAUGUUGGGAAUCUAUUAUGGCUCUAAAGUCUACAUAGACUUAAAGAUUAUAUGGCUUUUUUAAUAUUCAGAAAUUUCUUUCUUGUGACCUAAGUUAUUUUGUGAUUAAAUCUGAACUAAUUUUCUUGAGUACUUUCCUUAGUAAAGCUACAGGAAAAUUAUACUUGUGGACUAGUAGUAAAUUUUUUCUCAUCUUCUGUUCCACAGAUUAAUACCUUCUGGCUCAUUAAGGUCCCUUCACACAUCUUAUUUCCUGAUUAUCUCAAAAUGGGUUUCCACUGAAUUCACCAGACAUUCCUCUUAUGUAAUAAAGGCCAACUUAUAGAACUAUUUGGUCAUAGUACGACAAAUACUAAGUUUAAAGGAAAUGUAAACUAUUGUUACUUUCAUAAUAUGGCCUUGUAGCAUUUAAUUUAAUUUAAUUUAAUUUAAUUUAAUUUAAUAAUUAGCAUGUGUAAAUGCUAUAUACUGUUAUGUAGUGUUUCUCCAAGUAAUUUAUAAUGUCUUGAGUAUCUAUACUAG